AGUGAACGCUGGCGGUAGGCCUAACACAUGCAAGUCGAACGGCAGCACAGUAAGAGCUUGCUCUUACGGGUGGCGAGUGGCGGACGGGUGAGGAAUACAUCGGAAUCUACUUUUUCGUGGGGGAUAACGUAGGGAAACUUACGCUAAUACCGCAUACGACCUACGGGUGAAAGCAGGGGAUCUUCGGACCUUGCGCGAUUGAAUGAGCCGAUGUCGGAUUAGCCAGUUGGCGGGGUAAAGGCCCACCAAGGCGACGAUCCGUAGCUGGUCUGAGAGGAUGAUCGGCCACAAGGGAACUGAGACACGGUCCAGACUCCUACGGGAGGCAGCAGUGGGGAAUAGUGGACAAUGGGCGCAAGCCUGAUCCAGCCAUACCGAGUGGGUGAAGAAGGCCUUCGGGUUGUAAAGCCCUUUUGUUGGGAAAGAAAAGCAGCAGGUUAAUACCCCGCUGUUCUGACGGUACCCAAAGAAUAAGCAACGGCUAACUUCGUG
rnacentral:rRNA from 1 species